ACGGAAGGCAGCAGUGGGGAAUAUUGCACAAUGGGCGAAAGCCUGAUGCAGCGACGCCGCGUGAGUGAAGAAGUAUCUCGGUAUGUAAAGCUCUAUCAGCAGGGAAGAAAAUGACGGUACCUGACUAAGAAGCCCCGGCUAACUACGUGCCAGCAGCCGCGGUAAUACGUAGGGGGCAAGCGUUAUCCGGAUUUACUGGGUGUAAAGAGAGCGUAGACGGUUUGGCAAGUCUGAAGUGAAAUGCGGGGGCUCAACUCCUGAACUGCUUUGGAAACUGUCGAACUAGAGUGCAGGAGAGGUAAGUGGAAUUCCUAGUGUAGCGGUGAAAUGCGUAGAUAUUAGGAGGAACACCAGUGGCGAAGGCGGCUUACUGGACUGUAACUGACGUUGAGGCUCGAAAGCGUGGGGAGCAAACAGGAUUAGAUACCCUGGUA
rnacentral:rRNA from 1 species